AUGUCCUUGUGCUAGCAUGCAUAACAAAUGAUAUAAAGCCUCCGAGGAACGACGCACUGGACACAGAUCUGAUGUCUCUACAGUUUUUAUCCUAUUUGAACUUUGUUAACCUAACCCAGCGCUAUAUUUAUUUUGGUUGCGAUCCACCCUUUAAUAAUGCAUUGUCUGAAACGUCUGCGGAUUACUAAUGCGGGAGUUUUACAACUGCUCAAACAUGCUGUCAACUCCGCACUAGUUGGGAGUGACAGCAAUGUAUUUUCCAGGAGCCAGCAACCCUUUCAGCUGUUCUGCACGAGCGCAGCACUGCACCACAACAGGCAGCAACAUCAUCAAGCUGUCAAUGAUUUGGACCAAACAGAGUGCAGGAACAGCUUGAUCUCUGGGAUGGACCUUCUUUUCUACACCAUCACAGAGGGUAAAGAGAUGAUCUCAGUCUCUCAGUUCGUCUCUGCGUUGAAGAGCACAGGUUUGUGGACAUCUGAUCCCAGGCUGAGGGACUGUAUGCGUCAUCUGCGCCUGGCCAUGCGGGAAUCUGCCGGAACAGUCAUGGUGGACCAGAAACUCUUCAGGAAGUGUGUGGGUGCUAACAUCCUGUUGCUGACACAGGCGUUCAGGAGGAAGUUCAUCAUCCCAGACUUUGAGGUGUUUGCAUCCAACAUGGACCAGCUGUACUACAGUACCCAAAGGCAGGAGGGGGGACACGUAGCAGAUUACAUUCCUCAACUGGCUAAAUUCAGCCCUAAUCUGUGGGGAGUGUCUCUAUGCACAGUGGAUGGGCAGAGACAUUCUGCAGGUGACACCAAGGUUCCAUUCUGUCUUCAAUCAUGUGUGAAGCCUCUGGAGUACGCCAUCGCUGUGCACGAGAUCGGCACUGAGCAUGUGCACCGUUACGUGGGCAAAGAGCCUAGCGGACUCAAGUUCAACCAGCUGUCACUGAAUGAUGAGGAUAAACCACACAACCCUAUGGUGAACGCGGGGGCUAUCGUCAUCAGUUCUCUGCUCAAGCCUCACUCGAAUAAGGCCGAGAGGUUUGAUUAUGUAAUGGAAUACUUGAAGAAGAUGGCAGGCACAGAGUAUGUGGGCUUCAGCAACGCUACUUUUCAAUCAGAGAAGGAGACCGGGGAUAGGAAUGUUGCUAUUGGUUACUACCUGAAGGAGAAAAAAUGCUUUCCUGAGAAUGCAGAUAUGAUUGCAGCCCUUGAUUUCUACUUCCAGCUGUGCUCCAUUGAGGUGACCUGUGAAUCAGGCUGUGUCAUGGCCGCCACACUGGCCAACGGGGGCAUCUGUCCAAUCACAGGCGAGCGGGUGCUAAGUGCGGAGGCUGUGCGGAACACCCUAAGCCUCAUGCACUCCUGCGGAAUGUACGACUUCUCUGGCCAGUUCGCCUUCCAUGUGGGCUUGCCUGCUAAAUCUGGCGUGUCGGGUGCCGUGCUGCUGGUGGUCCCUAAUAUCAUGGGAAUAAUGUGUUGGUCUCCUCCCUUAGACCGUGUCGGAAAUAGUGUCCGAGGCAUUCACUUCUGUCAGGAGCUGGUUUCUCUCUUCAACUUCCACAAUUAUGACAACCUGAGACACUUUGCAAGGAAGCUGGACCCUCGCAGACUCUCACUUGAUGAUAGGGUAAGGGAUAGAACAGGCACUAAGGUCCUGCAUCCGACCCGGGUUAAGAGUGUGAAAAUUGAACGUUAAUUCCCUUUUUAUGCACCUUUCUCUCAAUGCGUAUUCUGACCUUGAAGUCAACCACUAUUCGUUCGGGUUGGAGAGCUAAGAAAUGAAGGUGUGGCAAAGGUGUGUCUACAGAUAAGCCUUUACGUGCGAGGAAACCAUGAGUAAGGUUGCACGAACCUGCUGGUUCCAAGUGGAAAAAGCAUCUUCUUUCUUUUUUUCUGAUAGAAAUAACAGCAUUGUCCAUGCACUGUCAUUUAUACACGGAUAAGAGCUAGGGGAGUGAAAGUUAUACCUCCCCCUGAGGAAAAUAUAUUUUUACUUGGCCCUCCCCAAGCGUAAAAAAAACAAGCAUGUAACCCUCACCCUCCAAAAUGAUAAUUAAAACAAAAUAGCAGGGAAUAUUAAAUCCCUUUUUAAUUGAUUAUCAAUGUUGCAGCCGGAAUUUAUAUUAAAUAAUUUGGACACUCAAACGAUGGGCUUCUGUAGGGCUGAACCUUGGCUUCUGUAGGGCUGAACCUUGGCUUCUGUAGGCCUGAACUUUGGCUUCUGUAGGCCUGAACUUUGGCUUCUGUAGGGCUGAACCUUGGCUUCUGUAGGGCUGAACCUUGGCUUCUGUAGGGCUGAACCUUGGCUUCUGUAGGGCUGAACCUUGGCUUCUGUAGGGCUGAACCUUGGCUUCUUUAGGGCUGAACCUUGGUUUCUGUAGGCCUGAACCUUGGCUUCUGUAGGCCUGAACCUUGGCUUCUGUAGGCCUGAACCUUGGCUUCGGUAGGCCUGAACCUUGGCUUAGAUUUAUUUAUAGGACUUGUUCAGCUCCCAUUGUUAACUUGGUUUUUUCAUUUUACAAGAUUUCAUGGAUUGAACUUGAGUAUAACAGCUUUCAGGAUGAAUCAAACCACUGUAUUUUUUAUUCAACUAUACAUUGUGUGCAUAAAGGCUCUCCAAACCAGUUUUUAUUUUAAGUUUCAUACAUACUUUCCUAACCCUGAAAUUUGCCUAAAUAAUCUACAAGGUCUGAGUAUUUUUUAAUCUACCAGUUGGUGCUGAAACUAAGACCAAGAUGCAUAGAUGGUAUUAUGUCAUUAAUCCUUAUUUUCCUUAUUUCUGAAUUUUAUGUUUUUUUUUCUCUUGAUGUAUUCUAGUCUCUCGACAAAUUCUAAUUGUGGGUACAUCGUAUUGAAAUGGAUGGCUUAAGAUAAAUCUACUGAAAACCGUAUUUAAUAGAAAAUCUGUUGGCCAGCAAGUGGAAGGGUUUUCAGCGGUUGAAUUACAUUUAUUCAGAGCGCGCAAGGGAGCCACGCCUGCAAUGCCCAUUACACACCUUCAUACGAACAAGUCAGUGGUUAACCUGAUGUUUGCAGCUUACAGUGGUGAUGUCUCUGCCCUGAGGAGGUUUGCUCUCUCGGCUGUGGACAUGG